rnacentral:rRNA from 1 species
AUUGAACGCUGGCGGCAUGCUUUACACAUGCAAGUCGAACGGCAGCACGGGUGCUUGCACCUGGUGGCGAGUGGCGGACGGGUGAGUAAUACAUCGGAACGUGUCCAGAAGAGGGGGAUAACGCAUCGAAAGAUGUGCUAAUACCGCAUAUGCUCUGAGGAGGAAAGUAGGGGAUCGAAAGACCUUACGCUUUUGGAGCGGCCGAUGUCUGAUUAGCUAGUUGGUGGGGUAAGGGCCUACCAAGGCGACGAUCAGUAGUUGGUCUGAGAGGACGACCAGCCACACUGGGACUGAGACACGGCCCAGACUCCUACGGGAGGCAGCAGUGGGGAAUUUUGGACAAUGGGCGCAAGCCUGAUCCAGCAAUGCCGCGUGAGUGAAGAAGGCCUUCGGUUGUAAGACUCUUCUAGUCGAGAAGAAAAGGACU